AUUGAACGCUAGCGGGAUGCUUUACACAUGCAAGUCGAACGAGUGGCGGACGGGUGAGUAAUCUAUCGGAACGUGCCCAGUAGCGGGGGCUCACUAAUCGUAAGAGUGGCUAAUACCGCAUACUUUUGGAGCGGCCGAUAUCGUAUUAGCUAGUUGGUGGGGUCAAGGCUCACCACGGCACGGAACCGUAGCUGGUUUGAGAGGACGACCAGCCACACGGGGACUGAGACACGGCCCAGACUCCUACGGGAGGCAGCAGUGGGGAAUUUUGGACAAUGGGGGAAACCCUGAUCCAGCCAUCCCGCGUGUAUGAGAAGGCCUUCGGGUUGUAAAGUACUUUUGGCAGAGAAGCGGUAUCUGCAGAAUAAGCACCGGCUAACUACGUGCCAGCAGCCGCGGUAAUUC
rnacentral:rRNA from 1 species